CCACACUCCACACGAUGCUCUCUUGUUUCAGGGUGGGAGAGAAAGGCUGAUUUUCUAUUGGAUGACAGCACUGGAGUUAUAAACUGCAUCUGCUGGAAAAAGUUGAAUACUGAGUCUGUAUCAGCUGCUCCAAGUGCAGCAAGAGAGCUCAGCUUAACCUCACAACUUAAGAAGCUACAAGAGACCAUUGAGCAGAAAACAAAGAUAGAGAUCGGGGACACGAUCCGAGUCAGAGGCAGUAUCCGCACAUACAGAGAAGAGCGAGAGAUUCAUGCCACCACUUACUAUAAAGUGGACGACCCAGUGUGGAACAUUCAAAUUGCAAGGAUGCUUGAGCUGCCCACUAUCUACAGGAAAGUUUAUGACCAGCCUUUUCACAGCUCAGCCCUAGAGAAAGAAGAGGCACUAAGGGGAGAAAACCCAGGAGGAAUGAGAAUGUGUGCAUAUUUGCUAAUAUGUGCAUAAAAGAACUCUG
rnacentral:lncRNA from 10 species